rnacentral:rRNA from 1 species
GCUCAGAGUAUAAGCCAAUGGAGCUUGGAAGGCUUCCGCAGAUGGUGUUCAUCAUACGUGGUGUUCUUAGACCUUGAGUGUGGCUCGUGAAGCGAAGCAUUGAGUUUGCCGACCAGCUGUCGUGCGGGGGGUUCAGCUUGGAAGGGUUGGGUUUCGGUCCAACAGUUUUCCUUCUGUCCCCUUUUGAAUGGACGUUCAGAGCUCUUGUGUCUAAUGCGGUUAUGCCCACCACAGCACGUUGUGAGGUCACCCACAGGCUCAAACUGCCGAUCGCGCAUCCAGGACGAUGGCAACGAUGCGUUGUCGAUGAUGGCUCGAGAGAGACUUCACUCACACGCGUGUCUAGUCCUGGGUCGGGCGGCGACCGAGAUAAACCUGGUACGAUCCUCUUGCGACGAGCUGCUUUCUGGCCAGACCGACGCCCAGUCGCCUCCACUGUGCCGGAAGCGUCAACCCCAGGCGGUGUGAACCCAGCUGCAUUAUGCAAGGUCUCUCAGCCGGGCGUUGGUCUGAGUGGUGUUAAGUCCAGCACCAUCGGUCACGUCUCGAAACACGGGCCAAGGAGUAUAGCAUGUGUGCAAGUCUAAGGGUCUCACAAAACCCGAAGGCGAAGUGAAAGCAAGACUGUGGCGGGGGAGCUACGGCAAACCCGCCGGCCUAGUGGCGCGUGCGUCGCCUGGCUUUUAGCAGAGCUGAUCCUGUUUUCUCGGUUAAUUCUUGGUGCAGGCGCAAGCUCCGGGCUCACGUACAACACUGGUCACGCCUCGCG